UGUACAUAGAGUGGAAUCGACACCUAAGGAAAUAAAGCCAAAUAGCCUACAUAAAAUAACCAUGUGUAAUCCGACGAAUCUGCCGAGCUGUUGCUCUCGAAUCAUGAACGCAAUUCGUGAUUUUUUUUGCUGCUUGUGGCGUGCGAUUUGUUGCCUAUGUUGUUGUUGUCCCUCUUCCAACAAUAACUAUGACAUUCUGCAUGAUUCCAUUCCAGUCCACGUGCUGGUUGCUGGAGAAACUUUCCAGACCCAUGAAACCUUCAUGCAAAAGCUGAAGAUAAACCCCUGCAGUGCAGAGAGCAGCAGC